UUGGAAAAACCAAGAGACAAAGAGGAUACUAAUGAAGCCAUCAAGUCUAGCUUCCUGGAUGAUCUCAUUACCCCAUAUCUUCAAGAGUCUACUGACCAAGAUCGCAUUUGGGACACCCAACUACUAAGGAACAAAAAAUGAAGCCAUUGAAGCCAAGUGAAAAGCUAAAUUGGGAGAUAAUUCCUGUUUUAGUACCACCGACUACCACCAGAGGGAAAAAGUCUCUGAGAAGAUAUUUAUGGCCUGGAGUCAGUGUCAGUGCUCAUCUAAGAACCACAUCACUUCUUAGACUUAAUACUUCAUCAAAAUUGCAAUCAAGCCUGGAACUUGGGCAAACUGUGCCCCUGGAACACAGGAAGGUAAGUUCCAUGAGGGCAGAGGGCUUUCUGUUUUGUGGUCAGUUUUACUCAAUGAUGUAUCCAUGGUGCUUGGAGCAGUGCCUGGCACAUAAUAGGCACUCAGAAACUAUCUGCUGAAUAAAGAGCAGACUCAAAUAAGUUCCUCUACACAGAACCUUUUUGGAAAGCCACAAGAAUGUAAGGUGAGUUAGAAAGGCUAGGUUGGGGGAGUUUCCAAAAUAUCUUUUCUUGUUCCAUGAAUCUUCAUGCUCUGCUACCAAUGGAAACUCCCAUUCCAGGCAGCUUUUUAAAAUAAGAGGUAAGUGAUAAGAGUCUUCCUUUCCUUGUGUAAAAAAGAAAAAUAAAAAAUCUCAAGAAGACAGGCAGCUCAAUAUCUUUUACCAAUAAUUAGAACCACAGAACACAUUUCAAAAUGCCAUCCUUAGGUUGAGUAGCUGAAAAUACUCCACUGACAUUAUACCACAUAAAAAUAUAUUUGCCUACUCUUCUUCCAGUAGAAUAUAGCAAGAUUCAGCCUCUUUGGAAAACUCUUACCCGACCCCAAUCCCAAUACAUAGAUGUAAUGCUGCAGGGAGAGGAAGUUAAACAUUACUUUCAGGAAGAAGGAAGGGUGUGGUUUCAUUGCUGAGUAGAAGUUAAAAAUAAGAGAGAGAAACCACGUACUAAAUCCUGGAAUUUCCCACCAUCUUUAAGUCUGAGGAGGCCUGCUCCUCUCUCUCUCUCUCGUUCUCUCUCUCUCUCAUUCUC